UACAGAGGUCUCAAGCGUUGUUCGGAUUCAUUGGGCGUAAAGGGUGCGUAGGUGGCGCCAUAAGUCGGGUGUGAAAUUUCGGAGCUUAACUCCGAAACUGCAUUCGAUACUGUGGUGCUUGAGGACUGGAGAGGAGACUGGAAUUCAUGGUGUAGCAGUGAAAUGCGCAGAUAUCAGGAGGAACACCGGUGGCGAAGGCGGGUCUCUGGACAGUUCCUGACACUGAGGCACGAAGGCCAGGGGAGCAAACGGG
rnacentral:rRNA from 1 species